CGACGCGACGGUCCCGCGGCUUAACUUAACUUUUUUAACACUUGACCCGGUCGCGCGCUACUUCGAAUAGUUUGUCACCGUUUAAUCAAGAACUCGCCAACGGCGCAUUCCUCGAGGGGUGAAAAAUUUUCAGCGAUGUUAACGCGAUCAGAUCGAUCGUCAACGCGAUGCAUUUGAGGGAUUGCACGGGUUUCAUGGUUAGUUAAUUAUUUCAAAUAUUUAUUUGGGGUGAGAAUCAUUUAAAAUAUUUUCGCGUGAACGAAUGCUUAUUCACGCGGAGGUUUGAUAUGCUUGGUAUUGUGUAGAGAUUUAGUGGCAAAAAUGUGUGUUGUGUGUAUAAGAUCUUUAAAAAUGUAAUAAGACCGGCAUUGACAAGGUAGAGUUCUGAAGAAUUAUGCACAAUUAAACGAAAGCAUAGUUAAGAGAAUUAAGACGUAUUAAUUAUGUAAGAAUAUUGUCGGUCGCACCUUAAUGACGUAAAACGCACAGAAAUAUGUAAAUAUACACAGAAGCAUAAUUUCAUUUUGGUAGUUGUAGUACUGCUAUUUUUUAAGCGUUUCCAGUUCACUAAACUAUCGUCGCAUCGUUUAAAAUAAACAGAAGUUCAUCGUUUCUGCAAGGAGACGGAAUUAUUUUUAUAAGCAA